UUCGUAGUUGGACUGGACGUUGAAGCACAUUGCUAUCGUCAUUUCUCCUCUUAAAUCAUUAAUGAUGGAUCAAGUGAAAGAACUGAAGAAUUUCAACAUCACAUCAAUAGCUUUUGAGCCUGGAAGUCCUAUGGAAACCAUCCAAGGCAAGCUUCUAAAUUAUUUACCACAUGUUUUAUAGCAUUAAAAAAGCCAAGGGUUGUUAAAUUUAUUUUAUGUAUAUUUUUUAAACAGAUAUAAAAAUGGGAAAAUACUCCAUCGUAUUUAUUUCCCCUGAAUCGGCCAACUCACCCUUUUGGAGAAGUUUGCUUCUGUGUGAUGAUUUGAGAUCCAAGAUUUGCCUUCUUGCAUGUGACGAGGCACACUGCAUUUCGGAAUGGGGUGAGGAUUUUAGACCUGCUUACAAGGAAGUGCUGAAUUUGAGAAGUAUAAUCGAUGCCCCCGUUUUGGCUGUAACUGGUACAUGCAAUGAGAAAGUUAAAAAUGAUGUUUUUAAGAGUCUUGCUUUCACCGAUGAUGUCAGAAUUAUUGCUGUUGCGCCUGACAGGCAAGUAGUGUGUAAAUUUUCAAAUAAAUUUUUCGUAUAUACUUUGUAGAAGGAUAAAACUAUAAAUGCAUAAAGUAUAAUUGUCGGACCCCCCCCCCCCCCCCUCCGGAUCAGCGAUUAUGUUUUCCUAAGAAGAAGAAAAAAAUGCAAUAAUCUCCUUCAUAAUACUGAUUUGCCCGCUGGGAAACAGUCUUCCAACUGUCCCUCCCAUUUAGCGAUUGGCAAUUCAUACCCCCCCCCUUCUUCCAAUAUUUCCUUUCGACCCGCCAAUAUAAAUGUAACAACAGUACAUUGUAUACUGAUUACAUCAUUUAAACAUUCUAGGCCCAACAUAUGCCUAUGCCUACAAAGAUCAAAGCAAAAGCAAAAACAUGAAUCGGAUCUCAAAUGGCUUCUUGAAUACCAUAUGCUAGAAAAACAUGAUGUUAAGAAAAUAAUUGUAUACUGCAGAUCAGUCAGUGCUACAGCUCUCCUUUAGCUUCAUUUCAAGGAUAAUCUACGAGAGCAUGGAUUACCAGAUGGUAUAGUUGAGACGUUUCAUUUCCAUAGAUGAGGAUGGCAAAAUUCGCAUUUUACAAACCUUCAAAAAACCCGACAGUCGUAUUAGAUGUCUUUUUGCCACCCUUGCAUUUGGCAUGGGCAUUCAAACAUGCCAUUCAAAUAAACGAUGUUAGAGUGAUUAUUCACUGGAGUGUGUCUAAAUCAUGUCUUUCAUACUGGAAAAAAUUAGGCAGGGCUGGUAGGAACAGGGACCAAGCUCUUGCGAUAUGUUAUGCUUACGGGAGAUCGCUGAAUAAGCAAACGACUGAUGAAAACAUGAUAAAGACAAUACAAGAAGCAUUCGAACAAAAAAAAUGCAUUAGACAAAGUCUUCUGUCGUGCAUGUCUAUAGGGAAUGAUUUAUUUGUUUUGAAGAAAGACAAGUGUGACGGUUGUACAGGUACCUGUAAAUGUUCACUGUGUAUGUGUUGCAAUAUUUGUAGAGACAGUUGCCCAUGCGAGGACAAAACGUGGGGAAAUUUUAUGGGUAUUGAUAAAUUAUAAAGACUGAUUCUAUGUAUAUAUAUAUUUGUUCAUUUUCAUAUUUUCAUCAUAGCAGGGUGGCCACGUAUAUAAAAAUGAAAAGGGGUCUAUUAACGACUCACCCCAUUCAAUGGACAUUUACCUGGGGUUUAAUUUUACUCACCCCCCCCCCUUUUUAAAAAAAAUGGUUUGAUUACAUUAUCUGCUGAUGUCCGGCACAGUAAUAUUACAAUCAGUGACAAUUACUAUUAUUAUUUAAAUCAUUGCUGUUAUGGCAUAUUAUGACAGUUACUUAAACAGGGACCUAUAUACUCGG